rnacentral:siRNA from 1 species
AGAGAAAACGAUAAGAUUAAUGAA